rnacentral:piRNA from 1 species
UGUAAUUCUGCCCUUUGUACAGUUGUGCUGC